AGUGAGAUAGCUGGGUAAAAUGGUGGUUCCAUUGCCAAGGAAUCUCCAUACUGCUUUCCAUAUUGGUUGCACCAAUUUUUAGUCCCAUCACCAAU
rnacentral:pre_miRNA from 1 species